rnacentral:lncRNA from 1 species
AUUUUUAAAAAUGAAUUCUAUAAAAAUACUUUUUAAAAUAUUAUAAAUUUUUCAAAAUUUAUUUUUUAUAAAUUAAAAGAUUGAAUUGUUCAUUCUAUAACAUAAAUAUACAUUAUUGAAGAUCAAAAUAUAGUCAAAAUCAUAAUUUUUUCAAAAAGUUGUAUCUUAAAAAUGAUUUUUAUGAAAAGCUAUUUGAAAUAGCUUCAAAAUUAAGUGAUUUUUUGAUAAUUUGAAAUCCAUUUUUUUUUAUGAAAUGAUAAAAUACCUAAAAUAACUAUUAAA